rnacentral:rRNA from 1 species
UACGUAGGGGGCAAGCGUUGUCCGGAAUCAUUGGGCGUAAAGCGCGUGUAGGCGGCUUGGUAAGUCUGCUCUGAAAGCCCGGGGCUCAACCCCGGGAGGCGGGUGGAUACUGUCAAGCUCGAGUCCGGAAGGGGAGUGUGGAAUUCCUGGUGUAGCGGUGAAAUGCGCAGAUAUCAGGAGGAACACCAAUGGCGAAGGCAGCACUCUGGGACGUGACUGACGCUGAGGCGCGAAAGCUAGGGGAGCAAACGGG